rnacentral:rRNA from 1 species
GCUGGCGGCAUGCCUUACACAUGCAAGUCGAACGGCAGCACGGGUGCUUGCACCUGGUGGCGAGUGGCGAACGGGUGAGUAAUACAUCGGAACAUGUCCUGUAGUGGGGGAUAGCCCGGCGAAAGCCGGAUUAAUACCGCAUACGAUCUACGGAUGAAAGCGGGGGACCUUCGGGCCUCGCGCUAUAGGGUUGGCCGAUGGCUGAUUAGCUAGUUGGUGGGGUAAAGGCCUACCAAGGCGACGAUCAGUAGCUGGUCUGAGAGGACGACCAGCCACACUGGGACUGAGACACGGCCCAGACUCCUACGGGAGGCAGCAGUGGGGAAUUUUGGACAAUGGGCGAAAGCCUGAUCCAGCAAUGCCGCGUGUGUGAAGAAGGCCUUCGGGUUGUAAAGCACUUUUGUCCGGAAAGAAAUCCUUGGUUCUAAUAUAGCCGGGGGAUGACGGUACCGGAAGAAUAAGCACCGGCUAACUACGUGCCAGCAGCCGCGGUAAUACGUAGGGUGCGAGCGUUAAUCGGAAUUACUGGGCGUAAAGCGUGCGCAGGCGGUUUGCUAAGACCGAUGUGAAAUCCCCGGGCUCAACCUGGGAACUGCAUUGGUGACUGGCAGGCUAGAGUAUGGCAGAGGGGGGUAGAAUUCCACGUGUAGCAGUGAAAUGCGUAGAGAUGUGGAGGAAUACCGAUGGCGAAGGCAGCCCCCUGGGCCAAUACUGACGC